UGUCAAGGGAUGGUAAUCGAACCCACAGUGUUCCGCUUACCGGGCAGAUGCCAUGUCCACUAGGCUACCCUGGAC